CAGUAGCCACGGGAAUACGAAAGGGGCUAGCGUUGCUCGGAAUUACUGGGCGUAAAGGGCGCGUAGGCGGACAGUUCAGUCGGGGGUGAAAGCCCGGGGCUCAACCGGGGAGGGUCAUUGGAAACUGGGAAACUUGAGUGCAGAAGAGGAGAGUGGAAUUCCACGUGUAGCGGUGAAAUGCGUAGAGAUGUGGAGGAACACCAGUGGCGAAGGCGACUCUCUGGUCUGUAACUGACGCUGAGGAGCGAAAGCGUGGGGAGCGAACAGGAUUAGAUACCCCUGUAGUCCCUGUCUCUUAUAC
rnacentral:rRNA from 1 species